rnacentral:rRNA from 1 species
GAUGAACGCUAGCGGCAGGCUUAAUACAUGCAAGUCGUGGGGCAGCAUGAUGUAGCAAUACAUUGAUGGCGACCGGCAAACGGGUGCGGAACACGUACACAACCUCCCGAGAAGUGGGGAAUAGCCCAGAGAAAUUUGGAUUAAUACCCCGUAACAUAGUUGAAAUGGCAUCAUUUUACUAUUAUAGUUUCGACGCUUCUUGAUGGGUGUGCGGCUGAUUAGAUAGUUGGCGGGGUAACGGCCCACCAAGUCUACGAUCAGUAGCUGAUGUGAGAGCAUGAUCAGCCACACGGGCACUGAGACACGGGCCCGACUCCUACGGGAGGCAGCAGUAAGGAAUAUUGGUCAAUGGGCGAAAGCCUGAACCAGCCAUGCCGCGUGAAGGAUUAAGGUCCUCUGGAUUGUAAACUUCUUUUAUCUGGGACGAAAAAAGGGAAUUCUUUCUCACUUGACGGUACCAGAUGAAUAAGCACCGGCUAACUCCGUGCCAGCCGCCGCAGUAAUAC